UAUAAUUAAUAAAAUAACAAAAUCCUGGUUGUAAGCGAACCACAAUAUCCAGAGUUCAUAGCAAUAUCAGGACAUAGUAUCGCCUCUGUCUAGGUGGAUCCAGUUGAGAAUGGGCGUCAACAGGUAGCAAACGUUAUUCACUGUCCCAGCCACUCGUUCAUAGAACAUCAGAUAACAUUUUUUUUUUGUGUGUGUCGACAAUAAACAGGUAACCGAUCAAAUUUGACUCCAGUAGCCUGUGCUUGCUUGUAGUUUGCACAUUCAGGUACUGAGCACCACAACAUGACUAGACUUUACAGGAGAUAUUCCUCGGAGCCGAGGACAGUGGGCUGGCGGCAAUAAAGAACCCUGCCCAUGAUGUGAAUACUCGUGUGGAGAAAUAUCCAAAUCUCCGUGUUUGUAGCCACCACUUUCAGUCAGAGGAUUUCGAAAUGGACAUGAAGUUUCAACUGAUGGGGUUGCCAGGUCGUCGAAUGUUGAAAAGUGAAGCUAUUCCGUCGAUUUUUCUCUUCACUUCAAAGAGGAAUGCAUCCGAUCACCCAACAUCAGCGCAGAAAAGAAGUCGAGCAGAGAGUCCAAUCCCAUCAACAUCUGCAGCACAUCAACAUCAAGCUCAGCACCAGGAACUAGUAGUCGCCAAAUACACCACCUAUUCCCUGAUUACCGAUGACAUCAGUGAGAUUGUGCAGAGUGAACUAAUACAGGACACGGAGGCACCCAGUUCUGUUGCGAUUUGAGGUAGUAAUUGGCUUCAAGCGAGCUCUGACAAAGCUGUUGGACAACAUGGGUCUCACAGUGGAUGUGGUCACAGCCGACCGUUCCCCAUCUAUACGCAAGAUGAGGGAUCUCUUCUCUGACAUCCAACAAGAGCUUGAUGUGUCGCAUACAGUUAAAGAUUAGCACUGCAGAACCCAACCUUGAACAAAAUGGGUCCCGUUAUGUUUGCCGAAAAUCAAACACUGCUUUCCACAGUAAGAACCUCAUACCAAGAGCCAAGCAUGGUGGUGAUAGUGUGGUGGUUUGGGGAUGCUUUGCUGCCUCAGGACGACUUGCCUUAAUAGAAGGAACAAUGAAUUUUGCUCUGUAUCAGAGAAUUUUACAGGAGAAUGUCAGGCCAUCAGUCUGUGAGCUGAAGCUGAAUCGCAGCUGGGUCAUGCAGCAAGACAAUGACCCAAAACACACAAUCAAGUCUCCAUGAAAAUGGUUAAAAAGCAAGCAACAAAUUUGGAGUUUUGGAAUCGCCUAGUCAAAGUCCAGACCCAAUCCCAAUUGAGAUGUUGGGGCAGGACUUGAAACGAGCAGUUCACGCUUGAAAACCCAUAAAUGUUGCUGAGUUAAAGCAGUUCUGCAUGCAAGAGUGGGCCAAAAUUCAUCCUCAGUGACGUGAGAGACUGAUCAACAACUACAGGAAGUAUUUGGUUGCAGUCGUUGCAGCUAAAGGUGGCACAACCAGUUAUUGAGUGUCUCCAAAAUAAACAUCUGCUGAAGGCCAAGAAGCAAGGAAAUGAGACCUUGUGUCCCUCGAUACGUUCCCUCACAAAUCACAUGUUUUGGUGUUCAGCCAGGUGUAAUGGAGACCCUGAAGUAAAUGAAAUGGAGAGAACCGCACACUCUGAGCUGAAGCGUAUGUGGGCCUCCGUUCUCAAGGGCAUCUGUGAGGUACACAGCUGGACACAGGGAAGAAGUCCACUGUCAACACCCUGACCUCAGUUGUGUUUGGCCUCUGCAAUUGUGUUGGACAAGCAUUUGAAAACUGUAGUCAUCAAUAACAGCAUAACGUUUUAAAAUUUUCAAUCAGAAAAGCCAAAAUACUUUGUCUACUCUUUUUUUUUUUUUUAUAUAAACACACAGACCAUCUGGAGGCAUUCCACAGUGCUCUCCUAAAGUACUCCCCAAAGCGGGAGCAUUUUGGGCUCCUGUGAAUGAAAACAUGGACACAAAGAGUGGAAAGCAUAAUGAGAAUGUGGGAUGCAAACAAGCCAAGACAGCCAAAGGAGACUUGCAGUACAAACGAAUCGAUUGCAAGAGGGCGAAGCAGUGGGUGGUGAAGAAAAUGUACUAACCCACAACUUCAGGGAGAGACUUGUCCACCUGGCUGUGUAGCGAAGAAAGGACAAGACAGUGGUAUACAAGCAGCCAAUGUCACAGCUCCCCAACAUCCCUGCCUACAUCGCCACAGCACCAAUGGCUACUAAACCAGCUGCCAUUGACCAACACAAGAUGAGGUUCACCAACUGAAGAACAUUCAGGACACUGCCUGGGUCAUUCAGCCAACACAACAUUCAUAUUAAAUUAGGCUGAUAGUAGUAUAAUAUAGAAUGCCUAGUAUGCUUACAACUCAAAUGAAAUUGUAUUUGUCCCCUGUAAACAGGUAUAGACUAAUUGUGAAAUGCUUACUUACGAGUCUUUUCUCCAAUAAUGCAGAGUUAAGAUAAUGAUAUAACAAAUAAAAAUGGUGACACGAAAAAUAAGUAAACAGUGAAUAAUGAAUAGCACAACGAGUAAAAGUGACAUGGCUAUAUACAUGGAGUACCAGUACCGAGUCGAUGUGCAGGGGUACGAGAUAAUUGAGGUAGCUAUGUACAUAUAGGUUGGGGUAAAGUAACUAGGCAACAGAAUAGACAGUAG